CAGCAGCCGCGGGAAUACGAAGGGGGCUAGCGUUGCUCGGAAUGACUGGGCGUAAAGGGCGCGUAGGCGGUUUUGACAGUCAGAUGUGAAAUUCCUGGGCUUAACCUGGGGGCUGCAUUUGAGACGUCAAGACUAGAGUGUGAGAGAGGGUUGUGGAAUUCCCAGUGUAGAGGUGAAAUUCGUAGAUAUUGGGAAGAACACCGGUGGCGAAGGCGGCAACCUGGCUCAUUACUGACGCUGAGGCGCGAAAGCGUGGGGAGCAAACAGGAUUAGAUACCCGGGUAGUCCCUGUCUCUUAUAU
rnacentral:rRNA from 1 species